GAUGAACGCUGGCGGCGUGCCUAAUACAUGCAAGUCGAGCGAACGGACGAGAAGCUUGCUUCUCUGAUGUUAGCGGCGGACGGGUGAGUAACACGUGGAUAACCUACCUAUAAGACUGGGAUAACUUCGGGAAACCGGAGCUAAUACCGGAUAAUAUUUUGAACCACAUGGUUCAAAAGUGAAAGACGGUCUUGCUGUCACUUAUAGCUGGAUCCGCGCUGCAUUAGCUAGUUGGUAAGGUAACGGCUUACCAAGGCAACGAUGCAUAGCCGACCUGAGAGGAUGAUCGGCCACACUGGAACUGAGACACGGUCCAGACUCCUACGGGAGGCAGCAGUAGGGAAUCUUCCGCAAUGGGCGAAAGCCUGACGGAGCAACGCCGCGUGAGUGAUGAAGGUCUUCGGAUCGUAAAACUCUGUUAUUAGGGAAGAACAUAUGUGUAAGUAACUGUGCACAGCUUGACGGUACCUAAUCAGAAAGCCCCGGCUAACUACGUG
rnacentral:rRNA from 1 species